rnacentral:lncRNA from 10 species
UCCCAGCUACUCAGGAGGCUGAGACAGGAGAAUUGCUUGACCCUGGGAGGCAGAGGUUGCAGUGAGCGGAGAUCACACCACUGUACUCCAGCCUAAGUGAUAGAGAAAGACUCCAUCUCAAAAAACAAAACAAAAAAACAAAAACAAACAAACAACAACAACAACAAAAACCCACCAGAAAAUGAAGUAACUUCAGGCUGAUUUAUUUUUUUUGAAACGGUUUUCCUCUGUCGACCAGGCUGGAGUACACUGGUGCAAUCAUAGCCUGCUACUUAUUUGAACUCUACCUCAAGUGAUCCUUCCACCUUAUCCCUAAGUAGCUAGGACUACAGGUGUGCACAACCACACUUGACUAAUUUUUAUAUUGUUUUUGUAGAAAUGGAGUCUAGUUUUGUUGCCUAGAAUUGUCUUGAACUCCUGGCUUCAAGCUAUUCUCUUGCCUUUGCCUCCUAAAUUGUUGCGAUUACAGGUGUGAGCCAUUGUGCCUGGCCUAAAUAUUUGUUUUUUUAAUCACAAAGCAAUAUAAGUCACUGGAAUAUUUCUCUAAAAUUAAAAAAAUCUAAAAAUUUAAGAGAUUGAGGUCAUUUUAACUACAUUUUUUUAAAUACGGUUACAGAUUUUUAACUAUGAAUAAGGACGUUAGCAUACUUAGACUAUUCCUCGUUCUCCCCACCUCCCUUAUACUUAGUUCCUUCAUGUUUUCCUGAACUAAUUUUAUUUUUGCCUUAUUUUUCUUAAAAACUUUUAAUUUCUGCUAUUUUGCUAUAUUUUAUGAUAUGUUAAGCCAUCCUUAGUUUAUAAUAGGAACAUGGCAGAAUAUAAAUAAAUCAUAGAUAAACAUACUAGAAGUUAUUAUAAUUUAAAAUUUUGAUAAUUCUGAUUUAUGAUUUACCAGUAAUUUUUUGGUAUGCAAUAGUAUGUGUAAUGGUUACUUCUAGUUCUGUAUUCACUAUUGAAAGCACGCUUUAAAGCAGCCCAGAAGUCUCUUUAAAUCCGUAUUUACCUCUACACUAAUAAAUCUCUAUAAAUUGUUGUGUCUUCAAUUUACCAUUAAUAAGCAGUAGAAAAAAUUGUUUUGCUUUGCUUUGGUACUACUGAAAUUGUGUGUUCUAAUAUAGUGAGGCCAUGAGGUGAGUGACUCCUAGUUUGCUAUUUUUUAAAUUACAGGCUGUUAAGUCAGAUCUGCCAGGAUCAGGUCCUAAAAGUGCUAUUUUUCACACAUCAAAAUCCAAGUUGAAAUACUGGCUUGUUUGUUAAGAUUAAUUAACUAUAGGUAAUACUUGCACCUUGCCUCAUUAAAAGAAGAAAAAAUGCCCCACUAUAUUCACUCACAGAAUUUUAGUAGAAAAAUUAAUGAUGAAUGUAAACAAACUUCAUGCAAAUACAACAUUUUUACCAUUUAGGAAAAAGAAAAACAUGAUUUUUCCCCCUCCAAAAUAGAGAUAAUUACUGAUAACGCAAUUUGCAGCUGUUUUCUUCAUGUGACCUCUGUUUUUUUUUUGUUUUCAAGUAUCAGAAAAUUGCAAACUUGACCAUCUGAUCUCAGGUAGUUGAGCAGUAUUGGGUGUUAAAAAAAUACUGGAAUUAGACACAUAGUAGCUCUGUCAUAAUUGGAUUUGAACUUUGACAAGUUUCUUAGCCCUGUGAGCCUCAGUUUCAUUUGAAAAAUGAUGGGAUUAAACUAGCAGGUCACUAAGUGCCUUCUAUUUGUAAAACCUUUGUUCCUAACUGAGCUAUAUUGAAAAUAUCAGUGCCCUCUUGAGUGUUCCUAUAUCAAGUUGCAUUGCAGCAAUUUUAAAACAUUGUUCAAACAAAAUACAUUGACUUUGAAAAAUAAAAAUAUCUUUGAAAAGAAGUAUGAAAUGAAAAUAAGUAAAUAAAAAAUAUGUUGACUUCCUUUAACUUAAGCUUUAAGUGGUUUUGUGAAAUAAAACAAGUGUAACUGAGUGUCCAACCUCAACACAUCAGUGAUCAUAUUUCUGUGACAAGAACCACAUUGCAUCUCUGAAGCCCUGUAGUACUUCCCCGGGUUUGUCCUGCAGACCAAGGCACAUUGUAGUUUUAAACACAGACUGGAAAUGUUCAGAAGAUUCAGUGGAAGUCAUGGACCAGGAAAGAUGGAGUUGGUGGUAAUUCAGACAAUUAGUUUAUUUGCUCUGAUGAUUUCUCUAGGUUCCAGAAGUACAUGUUUUAAAUUAUAGUGGCUAUUUGUCCCAUGAAUUACCUGAAAUUAAACAGUUUAAUUUUAAAAAAGCAGUAUUUAUUUAGAAAUUAAAGAUUUUUGAAAAAUUUGCAUAUGGUAAUGAAUAACUUUAUCUUCUAUUAGAUGAUCAUCAUGAAAAAGUAAAUGAAUGUAUUUAAAUUAAUGGGUUUCAAAGAUUAGACACAAGCCCUGGACUUUCAAAAUAUAUCUUUUAGAUUAUAAAAAUAAUUCAUGCUAAUCAUAGAAAUUUUAUAAUUUACAGGAAAGUAUAAAGAAAAAUAAAUUUAUCAGUUUCAUCAUCUGGAGAUAACUGCUGCUCCCAUUUUUCUGUACUUUUUUCUUUUUCCAUUCACACCAACAAAAAUAUUUUCACUUUAAGUGUCAGUGGGAUUAUAUUGUAUAUACAGUUUUUGAUUCCUCCCCUUCCCACUCAUAUCCUUAUAUGAUUAUAGAAAAAUGUCUCUAAUUGCUACAUAAUAUUCCCUUGUUUUGACCAUUCAAAUAUCUUGCCAGCUUUUAAUGAUUAUAAAUACUGCUACAAUAAAGAUCCUUGCAUAUAAAAUAUCUUUUUCUGUUUAUUUCAUAAAUG